UACGGAGGGGGCUAGCGUUGUUCGGAAUUACUGGGCGUAAAGCGCACGUAGGCGGACUUUUAAGUCGGGGGUGAAAUCCCAGGGCUCAACCCUGGAACUGCCUUCGAUACUGGAGGUCUGGAGGUCGAGAGAGGCGAGUGGAAUGCCGAGUGUAGAGGUGAAAUUCGUAGAUAUUCGGCGGAACACCAGUGGCGAAGGCGGCUCGCUGGCUCGAUACUGACGCUGAGGUGCGAAAGCGUGGGGAGCAAACAGG
rnacentral:rRNA from 1 species